AUAUUUUUUCAGUCAACCAAAAGAUCAUGAUGGGUGAAAAGAGACAUUGUCUCACUCGAUAUUAAUCUUAUUUUUAUGGGGAAAGGCCCACCACAAUAGCUUGCAAUUGGGGUCUUUGAGCGUCGCCUUGGUCUUGCACUACUGCCUUGGCCUGGCGCACCCCUC
rnacentral:snRNA from 1 species